rnacentral:rRNA from 1 species
GGAUGAACGCUGGCGGCGUGCCUAAUACAUGCAAGUCGAGCGAACGGACGAGAAGCUUGCUUCUCUGAUGUUAGCGGCGGACGGGUGAGUAACACGUGGAUAACCUACCUAUAAGACUGGGAUAACUUCGGGAAACCGAAGCUAAUACCGGAUGAUAUUUUGAACCGCAUGGUUCAAAAGUGAAAGACGGUCUUGCUGUCACUUAUAGAUGGAUCCGCGCUGCAUUAGCUAGUUGGUAAGGUAACGGCUUACCAAGGCAACGAUGCAUAGCCGACCUGAGAGGGUGAUCGGCCACACUGGAACUGAGACACGGUCCAGACUCCUACGGGAGGCAGCAGUAGGGAAUCUUCCGCAAUGGGCGAAAGCCUGACGGAGCAACGCCGCGUGAGUGAUGAAGGUCUUCGGAUCGUAAAACUCUGUUAUUAGGGAAGAACAUAUGUGUAAGUAACUGUGCACAUCUUGACGGUACCUAAUCAGAAAGCCACGGCUAACUACGUG